UGGGGAAUAUUGGACAAUGGGCGCAAGCCUGAUCCAGCCAUGCCGCGUGAGUGAAGAAGGCCUUCGGGUUGUAAAGCUCUUUUGUUGGGGAAGAAAAGCUUCUGGUUAAUGCCCGGGAGUCCUGACGGUACCCAAAGAAUAAGCACCGGCUAACUUCGUGCCAGCAGCCGCGGUAAUACGAAGGGUGCAAGCGUUACUCGGAAUUACUGGGCGUAAAGCGUGCGUAGGUGGUUCGUUAAGUCUGAUGUGAAAGCCCUGGGCUCAACCUGGGAACUGCAUUGGAUACUGGCGAUCUGGAGUGCGGUAGAGGGUGGCGGAAUUCCCGGUGUAGCAGUGAAAUGCGUAGAUAUCGGGAGGAACAUCCGUGGCGAAGGCGGCCACCUGGACCAGCACUGACACUGAGGCACGAAAGCGUGGGGAGCAAACAGGAUUAGAUACCCUGGUAGUCCACGCCCUAAACGAUGCGAACUGGAUGUUGGGUGCAACUUGGCACUCAGUAUCGAAGCUAACGCGUUAAGUUCGCCGCCUGGGAAGUACGGUCGCAAGACUGAAACUCAAAUGAAUUGACGGGGUCAUAGCUGUUUCCU
rnacentral:rRNA from 1 species